GGCCACUGCUUCAAUCCAUCGCAUUCAGGGUCUCUCUCUACCAUGACCCUGCUUUAUCAAGCAUGAUGAACGUCUGGCUGCUGCGUGGAGGACAUGUUUACGGAGACAGGCCUCGUGCCAGGUGCUUCACCUACUUUGCUGCGAACCCUCCCAAGAACCUAAUCAGAAGAUUGGAAAACCUAGACAAAAUGGAUACAUGUCCAGAAACUACCCAUGUUAAGGAACAAGACAGGGGUGACUGAAG